UGGGGAAUUUUGGACAAUGGGGGAAACCCUGAUCCAGCCAUGCCGCGUGCGGGAAGAAGGCCUUCGGGUUGUAAACCGCUUUUGUCAGGGAAGAAAUCUUCUGGGCUAAUACCACAGAGGGAUGACGGUACCUGAAGAAUAAGCACCGGCUAACUACGUGCCAGCAGCCGCGGUAAUACGUAGGGUGCAAGCGUUAAUCGGAAUUACUGGGCGUAAAGCGUGCGCAGGCGGUUGUGCAAGACAGGUGUGAAAUCCCCGGGCUUAACCUGGGAACUGCACUUGUGACUGCACAGCUGGAGUACGGCAGAGGGGGAUGGAAUUCCGCGUGUAACAGUGAAAUGCGUAGAUAUGCGGAGGAACACCGAUGGCGAAGGCAGUCCCCUGGGCCUGUACUGACGCUCAUGCACGAAAGCGUGGGGAGCAAACAGGAUUAGAUACCCAUGUAGUCCCUGAGCGGGCUGGCAAGGCGCAU
rnacentral:rRNA from 1 species